rnacentral:rRNA from 1 species
UACAGAGGGUGCAAGCGUUGUCCGGAUUUAUUGGGCGUAAAGAGCGUGUAGGCGGCCAAGCAGGUCCGCUGUGAAAACUCGAGGCUCAACCUCGAGACGUCGGUGGAAACCGUUUGGCUAGAGUCCGGAAGAGGAGAGUGGAAUUCCCGGUGUAGCGGUGAAAUGCGCAGAUAUCGGGAAGAACACCCGUGGCGAAGGCGGCUCUCUGGGACGGUACUGACGCUGAGACGCGAAAGCGUGGGGAGCGAACAGG